rnacentral:snRNA from 1 species
GUGCUCGCUUCGGCAGCAUAUAUACUAAAAUUGGAACGAUACAGAGAAGAUUAGCAUGGCCCCUGCACAAGGAUGACACACAAAUUCGUGAAGUGUUCCAUAUUUUA